rnacentral:rRNA from 1 species
GUGUCAGCAGCCGCGGUAAUACGGAGGGUGCAAGCGUUGUCCGGAAUUAUUGGGCGUAAAGCGCGCGCAGGCGGUUCCUUAAGUCUGAUGUGAAAGGCCACAGCUCAACUGUGGAGGGCCAUUGGAAACUGGGGAACUUGAGGACAGAAGAGGAGAGCGGAAUUCCACGUGUAGCGGUGAAAUGCGUAGAUAUGUGGAGGAACACCAGUGGCGAAGGCGGCUCUCUGGUCUGUAACUGACGCUGAGGCGCGAAAGCAUGGGUAGCGAACAGG